GGUGAGAUGGCCGAGUGGUUAUGGCGCUGCGUUCAGGCUACCUGAAUCGAAAUUCGCAGUGGAGCAAUCCGCGUGGGUUCGAGUCCCACUCUCAUCA